AAUGGCCUAACGGCUGAACCAGUGACUUAGAGGAAUAAGAUAAACUUGAAAUUUUUUUUUUCAAGUCUAAAUCUAUUUGUAUUCUAAAUAGAAUAAUGAUAAUGACAAUUUUCUAUUUAUAAGUCUUGGCUAAAUUACGUGCCAGCAGUCGCGGUAAUACGUAGAAGACUGGCGUUAGUCAUCUUUAUUAGGUUUAAAGGGUACCUAGACGGGAAAUUAAAUCUUCAAAAGAUACUUUUUUCCUAGAGUUUUAUAUGAGAAGUAUUGAACCUUUGGAGUAGAGAUGUAAUUCGAAAAUACUAAAGGGACAGAUGAAGGCGAAGGCGAUCUUCUAUGUAAAAACUGACGUUGAGGGACGAAGGCGUGGGGAGCAAUAGGGAUUAGAUACCCCAGUAGUCCACGCAGAAAAUGAUGAGUGCCAUAUGCUAGAUUUUUUUUUAGCAUAUAAAUGAAAAUGUAAGCAUUCCACCUCAAUAGUAUAGCGGCAACGCUGAAACUGAAAUCAUUAGACCGUUGCUGAAACCAGUAGUGAAGUAUGUUAUUUAAUUCGAUAACCCGCGAAUAAUCUUACCGCUUCUUGAAUAUUAUACAGGUGUUGCAUGGCUGUCUGCAGUUAAUGUCGUGAGAUCUGGUUAACUCCUUUAAUUAACGCAAACCCUUAUUUUAUUUUUUACAUAAAAUUGUUCGGUUAUCAUAAUAACUUGAUAAUAGGGACCAAGACAAGUCUUCAUGACCCUCACGAAGC
rnacentral:rRNA from 1 species